GCUCACUUUAAUAGCACAUAUUAAAAUUGGUACGAUACAGAGAAGAUAAGCAUGGCCCCUGCACAAGGAUGACACAUAAAUCUGUGAGUGGAAAUUGAUAAUA